GGCUGGCCUGAGCGCACUGGUGUUUAUAAUGGAUUUAUCACAACCAGAUACAGAUUUUGUUGUUUCUUCACUCCCAUUGCUUCACUUGACUAGCCUUAA
ensembl:Y_RNA Y_RNA Y RNA